rnacentral:rRNA from 1 species
ACUCAAAUGAAUUGACGGGGACUUGCACAAGCGGUGGAUGAUGUGGUUUAAUUCGACGAUUCACGAAGAACCUUACCAGGGUUAGAAAUCAAGACGAAGAUAGGCAGAAACGCUUAUCGUCUUCGGACGGCUUGACAGGUGAUGCAUGGUUGUUGUCAGUUCGUGGUUUGAAUUGUUCCCUUAAGUGGGGUAACGAACGAAACCCUCGUUGUGUGUUAUAUAUGUCACACGAGACUGCCCCCUCACUGUUCAGAAAACAUAUUUCUGGAUUGUGAAUAGUGAGGGGGGAGGAAGGAGAGGAUGACACCAAAUCAGCAUGUCCCUUGAUACCCUGGGCUACACACGUCAUACAAUGGUCACUACAGUGGGUUGCAAUACCGUAAGGUGGAGCCAAUCCCCAAAAGUGGCCUCAGUUCAGAUUGAGGUCUGAAACUCGACCUCAUGAAGCUGGAAUCGCUAGUAAUCGCAGGUCAGCUAUACUGCGGUGAAUACGUUCUCAAGUCUUGUACACACCGCCCGU